rnacentral:rRNA from 1 species
UGCAAGUCGAGCGGAAAGGCCCUUCGGGGUACUCGAGCGGCGAACGGGUGAGUAACACGUGAGUAACCUGCCCUAGGCUUUGGGAUAACCCUCGGAAACGGGGGCUAAUACCGGAUAUGACCUCUUGUCGCAUGGUGAGGGGUGGAAAGUUUUUCGGCCUGGGAUGGGCUCGCGGCCUAUCAGCUUGUUGGUGGGGUGAUGGCCUACCAAGGCGACGACGGGUAGCCGGCCUGAGAGGGCGACCGGCCACACUGGGACUGAGACACGGCCCAGACUCCUACGGGAGGCAGCAGUGGGGAAUAUUGCACAAUGGGCGGAAGCCUGAUGCAGCGACGCCGCGUGAGGGAUGACGGCCUUCGGGUUGUAAACCUCUUUCAGCAGGGACGAAGCGUGAGUGACGGUACCUGCAGAAGAAGCGCCGGCCAACUACGUGCCAGCAGCCGCGGUAAGACGUAGGGCGCGAGCGUUGUCCGGAUUUAUUGGGCGUAAAGAGCUCGUAGGCGGCUUGUCGCGUCGACCGUGAAAACUUGGGGCUCAACCCCAAGCCUGCGGUCGAUACGGGCAGGCUAGAGUUCGGUAGGGGAGACUGGAAUUCCUGGUGUAGCGGUGAAAUGCGCAGAUAUCAGGAGGAACACCGGUGGCGAAGGCGGGUCUCUGGGCCGAUACUGACGCUGAGGAGCGAAAGCGUGGGGAGCGAACAGGAUUAGA